AGGCAAUAUCCUUUCGGUUGCUGGCAUUAGCCUAGCUAGCCUGCUACGUCCUGUGCGCGUGCACGACGACCACCGUUUCUGACUGAGGACCUUGGUGGCGCAAUGAUGGAACGUCUCGGACGUUAUGGACUGAUGACACGGAGACGGGACGACGUUAUUAUUCCUCCUUUAUUGGGCAUCCACCAACACAGACAGCUGCUCCUCUCAGCUCAGCAGCUCGGACGUCAACAACAACGGUUCCCGUCAACCACCCGUAACUUCCGUUUUCCGACAGGUUAACCCCGCCUCCCCUCUACUCCGCCAAUCACAGGCACGCCUCCCCUCUACUCCGCCAAUCACAGGCACGCCCCCUCGACCAGCACCCACGGUGCCACACUGUGAUUGACAGCCACUUCCAGUGUUGCCAGGUCCGCGGUUUUUGCCGCUGGUUGAAUUUUGUGUCCGCUGGUUCGGGUAGACCUAUUUUGCAUGCAAAUUACAUGAAUAUCUUUAAAUAAAAAUCCAUAUUUUAAAUGAAAUAAUUUAUUUAUACCCAAAUCCUAUCAAACUGACUCCAGAUCAGCACGUACACGCCUCACUAGCACCCCCCCCCUCAAUUAUAUGCAGCACCUCAAGGCACCUUUGUUUUCUCUUUUAAUUAGUGUUAAUACUGUGUAGGCAAAUCACUUUUAUUUCAUUGGGCCUAAUGUGGUAAAAAAAAAACACUGUUAAAUCACUGAGACAGUUAUUUUGUAUAAAGUUAACUAAAAAAGGGACUUUUGUACUCCUGCUUGAUUUGAAGGCCUGUUGCCCUGUUGAUUGCAAUAAAUAGGUCUACAACAUG